rnacentral:rRNA from 1 species
AAUUCGCCCUUAGAGUUUGAUCCUGGUUCAGGAUGAACGCUGACAGAAUGCUUAACACAUGCAAGUCGAUUCAAUUUACCUUCGGGUAUUGAGGAUGGCGGACGGGUGAGUAACGCGUAAGGAACUUGCCUCUUGGUCUGGGACAACUGUUGGAAACGACAGCUAAUACCGGAUAUUAUGAGAUUCUCGCAUGGGAAACUUAUGAAAGCUAUAUGCGCCAAGAGAGAGCCUUGCGUUCCAUUAGCUAGUUGGUGGGGGUAACGGCCCACCAAGGCGACGAUGGAUAGCCGGCCUGAGAGGGUGAACGGCCACAAGGGGACUGAGACACGGCCCUUACUCCUACGGGAGGCAGCAGUGGGGAAUAUUGGACAAUGGGCCACAAGCCUGAUCCAGCAAUUCUGUGUGCACGAUGAAGGUCUUCGGAUUGUAAAGUGCUUUCAGUUGGGAAGAAGAAAGUGACGGUACCAACAGAAGAAGCGACGGCUAAAUACGUGCCAGCAGCCGCGGUAAUACGUAUGUCGCAAGCGUUAUCCGGAUUUAUUGGGCGUAAAGCGCGUCUAGGCGGAAAAAUAAGUCUGAUGUUAAAAUGCGGGGCUCAACUCCGUAUUGCGUUGGAAACUGUUUUUCUAGAGUACUGGAGAGGUGGGCGGAACUACAAGUGUAGAGGUGAAAUUCGUAGAUAUUUGUAGGAAUGCCGAUGGAGAAGUCAGCUCACUGGACAGAUACUGACGCUAAAGCGCGAAAGCGUGGGGAGCAAACAGGAUUAGAUACCCUGGUAGUCCACGCCGUAAA